rnacentral:lncRNA from 1 species
AACAUUAUCAUCCUUCAACCUAUGCCAGUGAAUAUAUUGAUCUCGAUCAAGCAACAUAUUCCGUUGUUGCAUUUUGGUGUUACUCCUUCUUAUGGAAGAACGGUAAGCAUGUCUCGCAUUGUAAAUUUGUUUGAUUAUUGUAUAAUUGUUGUCAUUGUAUUCCUUCAACGUCAACAAAAUAUUUCUUGGCUUCACCAUGAACUUCAUUAUAUCAACAACAACAAUAUUCUCAUCCAUUGUCAGUCGACCCACAUAUGGAUGCCCAACAAAUGACUGUCAUUUUGUGAUUGUGAACCCCACAAAUUAACUUCACCAUCUAUCAUUCUC